AGGACGAACGCUGGCGGCGUGCUUAACACAUGCAAGUCGAGCGGAAAGGCCCUUCGGGGUACUCGAGCGGCGAACGGGUGAGUAACACGUGAGUAAUCUGCCCCUAGCUCUGGGGAUAGCUCCGGGAAACCGGGAUUAAUACUGGAUACGACCACCUUAGACAUCUUUUGUGGUGGAAAGAAUUUCGGCUAGGGAUGAGCUCGCGGCCUAUCAGCUUGGUUGGUGGGGUAACGGCCUACCAAGGCGACGACGGGUA
rnacentral:rRNA from 1 species